UGGAUGCCUUCCUAGUUUGGGCACAAUCCUUUCCCUGGUACAGCCCUUGUUACAACUCAGGUGACAGCUAGGGGAUUUCUUAUGAUGGCCACCCACUUUG